ensembl:lincRNA
UUCCUUCUGACACUCACCACCUCUCUACAAGAUGUAGUUGGUUUUCAUCAGACGGCACCAGACCCCAGUUCAGAGAUUUGUUCAGCAUGUUCUUAGUGCACUGCAAACUCACAGACUGGAUAUAAUCUACCAUGCUGGCGAGCAUCACCUAUAUCAUUGUGAUGAUGCAGGAACCCACCAGUAAGACCUUCAACCAUGCAAUAACCAAGACUCUCUGCAGAGGAGAAACAAGGCCUGCAAAAGGAAUCCUCGAUUUGUUCGCCCUUAGCUUAAGGAAAUUAAGCUCCAGUGUUUUGCUCAGCACAAAACACUUCCCUUUAAAAAUCCUCGUAAUCUGUGGCAUGCAGUGCAUAAGCGUGCGUGUAUCUGUGCGUGCGGGAGAUAGAGAAGCAAAUAGACCUCCAAGCUUGACACCAUACCCUCCCUCCGUGUCUCCUGUUUGGGAAAAGCUAUCACCAUUGAAGAUAUGAAAGGAUUUGUAAAGGUCUCUCACUGUCCCAGGAACUCCCCAUGUGAUGAGAGUGUCUGGACAGUAAACUCCAGGGAUCCACCAUCUCCCCAGAGAUGGGAUUACAGACUGGUCUGUCUUUUUCUUAAAUUCGGGGAUUUGAACUCAGCCUCUGAUGCUUGCAGGUGUGACUCCGGCUUUGGCCAUGGUGACUCCAUGCUCAUGUAUAACAUGCCAUUUGCAUUACCAAUGGCCCAUCCAGACUGUGAUGUCAAGCGGGCCAGAAGAAUGAGAAACCGAGACCUGAACAUCACAGGCCGGCCUUCCCUGGAGUGUGAGAAGCCAGGUUAUUGCCGUUCACAGGAAAUUUGAGUGAAUCAUGACUGUUUCUGUCAGCCUGAGGCUGAAAGUGAAAACCCUAUCCAGCCGUCAAGGUUUGCUCAACUGGAGGCUGCUGAUGGUGGAAAACCAAGUACAGACUUUACUCAUAGGCAGUCCUAGACCUGUAGGUGGUACCUGGCUCAUCACCUCAUCAAAGGUCUCCUACCUCUCUCUGUCUCUCUCUCUCACACACACACACACACACACACAGACAUGCAUGCACACGCACACAUGCGUAUGUGUGUGUGUGUGUGUCUAUGACGCCAAGUCAAGUACACAGUUUCAAAAAGAGUUGGCCUGUGACCUCUGUACAAGCUACACGUCCUUGUACAUAUUAUUAGUGUUUCUGAUCUACCCUUUCCCCGACUUUGAAAUGUGGAUAUUAGCCAUCGCAGCGACCUACAAGUUGAAAGACAGAAACCACAUGGACAUCUCAUUAGAUGCAGAGCAGACAUUCGACCAAAUCCCAAACCCCUUCAUGAUUAAAGUCUUGGAGAGAUCAGGAAUACGAGAGACACAAAACCAAAAUAAACUGUUGGCAGUGAGCUCACAGCCAACAUCUGCUUAAACGGAAACUCAAAGCAAUUCUAUUAACAUCAGGAACAAAAUAAGGUUGUCCAUUCUCCCCACACCUAUUAAUAUAGUGCUCAACAUCUCAGCUAGACACUAAGACAACUGUAGGAGAUUAAGAUGAUACAAGUUGGAUAGGAAGACAUCCAAAGAAUCUUUAUUUGCCGAUGAAUCAUUAAUAUACCUACGUGUCCCUAACACUUCCACCUGGAAACUCCCACACCUGAUAAACACAUUCAGCAAAGUAGCUGGAUUCAGAAUUGACUCCCCCAGAUCAGUAGCCCUCCUGGAUACAAAUGACAAAUGGACCGAGAAAAAAACUCAGGGAAACAACACCUUUCACAAUAGCAUCAAAUAAUACAAAAUAACUUGGGGUAACUCUAACCAAGCAAGUGAUGGACUUGUACAAUAAACACCUCAAGUCAUUGAAGAAGAUGUCAGAAGGUUUAACAUAGUCAAAAUGGCCAUCCUGACAAAAGCAACGUACAGAUUCAGUUAAAUUCCAACACAAUUUUUCAUGGCUCAUGAAAGGACAAUUUUCACCUGAAAACAAAACAAAUACACUAGCGAAAAGAAUCCUGAAUAAUGAAAGAACUGUAGGAGGCAUCACCAUCUCUGAUUUCAAGUUGUACUACAGGUCUGUAGUAAUAAGUUGAACAUGGCAAUGGAAAAAAACAGACAUAUUGAUUACUGGAGUUGUAGACCAAGACAUAAAUCCAUACCUACUGACAUCUGGUUUUUGUUGUUGUUGUGUUUGUUAGUUUGUUUGUUAUAAAGAAGCCAGAAAUACACCCUGGGAAAAGGGAAGCUUCUUCAACAAAUGGUGCUGGUUAAACUGGAUGGCUGUCUGUAGAACAAAUAGACGCGCAUUUAUCAUCCUGCACAAAACUCAGUUCCAAAUGGAUCAAGGACUUCCACCUAAAAGCAGACACGCUGAACCUGGUAGAAAAAGAAGUGGGGAAUAGCUUUGAACACAGGAAAAGACUUUCUGAACAGAACCUCAAUAACCAAGCCACUCAGAUCAACAGUAAGUGGGACCUCUAGAAACUGAGAAACUUCUGCAUGGCCAAGGACAGCAUCCUUCAGGCAAAGCUGCAGCCUGCAGAAUGGGAGAAGAUUUUGACCAUCUCGACACUCAGUAGAGGCCUUAUAUCAAUGCACAGGUCCUGCUUCCGCACCAGGUUCUCUGCAUGUAUAGUACAGCUUCCAGCUUAGUGUUUUUAUGGGAUGCUUAAGUAUGCAAACAAGCGGGUCUCUGAUUCUUCUGUCUUCUCUUGGAGUAUUUCCUUCUGUUGUUGGUUGGUUUGUUUUGUCCAAUUCCCAUGUAUUAGUUUUUGUUUUAUCAUAUUAUAUUAUAACCCCUUAGAAGUCUGCUAACUUCUAAUGAGAGACAGAACAGGAGUGUGUCCAGAUGGUAGUGGAAGAAGGAAGGAACUGGGAGGAGUAGAGAGAAAAGAAACUGUAAUCAUGAUAUAUUGUAUGAGGAAAAAAUAUCUAUCUUCAAUAAAAGAGAUGGGGGAGCC